CACCACCAGGGAAGCCCAAUUUCUAUUAUCUCGACUUCAUUCUCAGACCAGCCUUCCCUCGUGCUUGCGAAAAGGCUGCCAGGAGCUCCUGAGGCCACCGCCAUGGAGAUCUUUCCUUUGGCUUCCUUUUCAAACGUCUCAUGGCCUCUCAUUGGCUCUUUCUAGAGCAUCUGCCCAUCCCCGACCAAUCGCAAUGGCUGAGGUGAAAGCAGAGUGCUGAUUGGCUUAGGCCUAGGUCACAAGCCCCAUCCUCGGCCUGGAUGCUCAACUUGGGGAGACAUGUGGACUGGGGGGCAGGGGCAUGGAGGAAAGCGGGGGCACUUGUUUCCAGAGGAAGGAUGGAUGGAAAAUGCGGAAGGGACACCGAAUACCAUCUUUAUGAGAAUGUAAAGUGAAAGCCUGGAGUGGUGGGGUUCGUGCUCAGGGAUAGCUGGGGCCAGAUCAGGGAGGGCCCAAAGGGAGGUGCUUGCAGCUUAGAUGCAGGGGGCGGGGGUGGGGAGGUGUGGAGGAUGUGAGCCAGCAUCCCGGAGACAGCAAGUCUCAUCCGUGGGCUGCCUGGCUCAGGUGGUGAUGGUGGCCAAUGGUUUCCAUCUUUGAGUCAAUUCUUUCAUCUUGACAACGAUGAAAUGCUGCUUCUCCUGAGUUCCUUCCUUCAUUGACUUGUAAUCCACCCAGUAUACUCAGAGGUCCACACACUUUUUCUGUAAUUGGCCAGAAAUAGUAAAUAUUUGGGGCUCUGAGGGCCAUCUGGUCUCUGUCACAUCUGCUCAACUUCGCUGUUGUAGUGACAGCCGCCAUAUUAUUCGCAUACUGCCUGUGGCUGCUUUUGAGACAAUAUGUACCGCAGAGCCUAAAAUUCCUAUCUAGCCCUUUGCAGAAAGUGUUUGCCAACCCUGUCAUAUACUAGGAACGUCUUCCAAGGGAGUAAACACCCUUCCUCACCACCAUGUUUAGUGACUGCAUUUUGCUUCCCUUCCAUAGACUUUUCCAAAGCUGCUCUACUGAGGACCUUUAUUUCCCUGGCAAAUGUUCUCAGAAAUGAGUUUGUUAAGGAAGACACCUGAAUUUGAGAAGCAGUGAGACAAGUGUCCCCAAAGCCCCGCCUGACUUCUCUCCCGGCCCAGCCCUGGUCUCUAAGCUCUGAAGGGCUGAAAAACGGACAUUUUCUCAGAUCACUGCAAAUCUCUGGAAAACCAGAUCCAGGACUGGAGAAAGUAAAGAAGAGUUCCUAUGAGGAAGGAGGCUGAUACAAACAGCAACUACAGAAAAUGACUUGCCCUGGACCCUGCAGUGGGUGCAUGCCUCCACCGCAUGCUGUGUCCUUCGGAAGAAAUCCAGGAAGCCUGAGGCCAGAGCGCAGAAUGUACCUGUAUGAUUCUGCAAAUUCCACACAUCCUAUGGGCAGUUGCUCCAUUACAUUCUACAGCACAGAAGAGUCUCCCAAUUCCUCAUGGCAGCCAGGUCUUGAACAGCCUGUGGGUGGCUUUUGUUUGGGCCAUGGGCUCUUUGAAAAGAUGACUCAGUCAGGUAAGUGGUUUGGCACCUGGUGUCAAACGUCUCACACUUGAGCACACAGGACCUGCCCGGCCUGGAAGGGCAAGUCUUGAACCUCUGUGGGCCUGGGGUCCCUCCUGUGUGCGGUGGAGUCACCUCCACAGGUGCAGGUCCCACCCCUCUAAGACACCACACCCCAUCACUUCCUACCCCUGCCUUUCCUUCUAAUACCUGACCCAUCUUAGUUAUGAGGUUCGUGGUGGUCCCCAUGGUAAGCUCUGGGGAGCAGGACUUGGCUGCUUUCCUUCCCCACCAUCCCCCAGCCUGACCUGGUACCCGGAGGUACUCAUAGUACAUCUGCUUCAGGGACGUGGGACCCCCCUCAUCCACUACCCGGGCAGCCUCAGAAGAGCACCUUAUUUACAAAACACCCGCUGGUAGGACAACGCUCAGUGGAGCUCUGGAGAUAACAGGAGGAAUGUCUGUGAAGACUGAACGAUGGAACUCCUAACCCCACCUUAGCUCCCAACCUGUGCUGCCCCAGGGCCUUGCCCUCACUCCCCUUGCCUCUGCUUCCCCUAAAGGUCUGCUGUCUGACCUUCUGGCGCCUCUUGAUUUCAGCAUCGCCUCCUCUGGGAACCUGCUUCACCUCCAGCACAGGCCAGGCUGCCUUAUACCCACAGCACCCCUGUCUCUCCGUGGUGUCGCCGCCUCUGUAAAGGUUGGGUUAGCUGUGUAGUCGUUUGCCAAGAUUUUGUCUCCCACCAGCGAUGCGAGGCCCCAGAGACAGGGGUUGGAGCCUCUUUUGUUGUCUGUGAGCUGCCCAGCACGGGGCCUGGAACACUGUCAGCGCUCCAUAAAUAUUUGUGGAAUGAAAGAUGGACAAGAGACAACUCCCGACAGAGAUAGGGAAUCGCAGGGUGGAGGGACAUCGUGGAGCCGGGUGACAGGGGAGAGGCCGGUUUGUGAAGGUGACACGUCUGACUCAGCCCCGGUCCAGGAGGGGACCAGUUAGUCAGGCCUUCGCAGGUGCCGAUGCCCCAGAAACACAAGGACACUGAACACACCACAGAGCGACCUUUUAAGGUCAAGGCUACCACUUCAGACACUCCCCACGGGGCUUUGCAGAUACUGCUUUUCGCUUCUCUGUCUCCAAACCCCAAGAGGUUGUGAACGCGUGGCCCAUAGCACCCGGAGGUUUCUGCUCUCAUGGGUGCAGCUCUGCCCUCUCUCCCUCCCUCCGCUGGUGUCUGUUUUAAGACCUUGGUGGAAUUUAGCACCCAAACUCCCUGGGCUCCAUCACCGUUAGGGCUCUGUCAAUUCCCAGUGCUUAGAAAUUAACACUGUAUCCCACCCCUCCCCCACCCAAACCCCAUCCAUGGGGAAAACUUUUGGGGUGUCAGGCCAGUGGAGAUUUGAUUUGAUUUAUUUAUUUUGCAUAUUUACUUCCAGUUUUAUUUUUUUUAUUAUUAUUAUUUUUUGCGAUACGUGGGCCUCU